ensembl:snoRNA
AUCUUUUUUGUGGUUCAUAAGCAUGAUGAUUGGGUUUUCAUGCCACUGUGUGAGAUAUGCCUUUCUCAGACCUUGCUAAAACACUGGCACAGUACCUAUCUGAUA